rnacentral:rRNA from 1 species
CCUACGGGAGGCAGCAGUGAGGAAUAUUGGUCAAUGGGCGCGAGCCUGAACCAGCCAAGUAGCGUGAAGGAUGACUGCCCUACGGGUUGUAAACUUCUUUUAUAAAGGAAUAAAGUGAGGCACGUGUGCCUUUUUGUAUGUACUUUAUGAAUAAGGAUCGGCUAACUCCGUGCCAGCAGCCGCGGUAAUACGGAGGAUCCGAGCGUUAUCCGGAUUUAUUGGGUUUAAAGGGAGCGUAGAUGGGUUGUUAAGUCAGUUGUGAAAGUUUGCGGCUCAACCGUAAAAUUGCAAUUGAUACUGGCAGCCUUGAGUACAGUUGAGGUAGGCGGAAUUCGUGGUGUAGCGGUGAAAUGCUUAGAUAUUAGGAGGAACACCAGUUGCGAAGGCAGCCUACUGGGCUGUUACUGACGCUGAUGCUCGAAAGUGUGGGUAGCAAACAGGAUUAGAUACCCGAGUAGUC